rnacentral:rRNA from 1 species
UACGGAGAGUGCAAGCGUUGUUCGGAAUUAUUGGGCGUAAAGCGCGUGUAGGCGGUCCAACAAGUCUGGCGUGAAAGCCUCGGGCUCAACCCGAGAAGUGCGCUGGAAACUGUUAGACUUGAGUACUGGAGGGGGAAGGGGAAUUCUCGAGUGUAGAGGUGAAAUUCGUAGAUAUUCGGAAGAACAUCAGUGGCGAAGGCGCCUUCCUGGACAGAUACUGACGCUGAGACGCGAAAGCGUGGGUAGCAAACAGG